rnacentral:rRNA from 1 species
CACACACGACCGUACCGCAAACCGACACUGGUGCGCGAGAUGAGUAUUCUAAGGCGCUUGAGAGAACUCAGGAGAAGGAACUCGGCAAAUUGACACCGUAACUUCGGAAGAAGGUGUGCCUUUAGUAGGUGAACCUGUACAAGGGGAGCCCAAUGAGGUUGCAAAAAAUCGGUGGCUGCGACUGUUUAAUAAAAACACAGCACUCUGCAAACACGAAAGUGGACGUAUAGGGUGUGACGCCUGCCCGGUGCUGGAAGAUUAAAUGAUGGGGUGCAAGCUCUUGAUUGAAGUCCCAGUAAACGGCGGCCGUAACUAUAACGGUCCUAAGGUAGCGAAAUUCCUUGUCGGGUAAGUUCCGACCUGCACGAAUGGCGUAACGAUGGCCACACUGUCUCCUCCUGAGACUCAGCGAAGUUGAAAUGUUUGUGAUGAUGCAAUCUCCCCGCGGAAAGACGGAAAGACCCCAUGAACCUUUACUGUAGCUUUGUAUUGGACUUUGAACAGAUCUGUGUAGGAUAGGUGGGAGGCUUUGAAGUGUGGUCGCUAGAUCGCAUGGAGCCAACGUUGGAAUACCACCCUGGUGUGUUUGAGGUUCUAACCUAGGCCCGUAAUCCGGGUCGGGGACAGUGCAUGGUAGGCAGUUUGACUGGGGCGGUCUCCUCCCAAAGCGUAACGGAGGAGUUCGAAGGUACGCUAGGUACGGUCGGACAUCGUGCUAAUAGUGCAAUGGCAUAAGCGUGCUUAACUGCGAGACUGACAAGUCGAGCAGAUGCGAAAGCAGGACAUAGUGAUCCGGUGGUUCUGUAUGGAAUGGCCAUCGCUCAACGGAUAAAAGGUACUCUGGGGAUAACAGGCUGAUACCGCCCAAGAGUUCAUAUCGACGGCGGUGUUUGGCACCUCGAUGUCGGCUCAUCUCAUCCUGGGGCUGUAGCCGGUCCCAAGGGUAUGGCUGUUCGCCAUUUAAAGAGGUACGUGAGCUGGGUUUAAAACGUCGUGAGACAGUUUGGUCCCUAUCCUCCGUGGGCGCUGCAGAUUUGAGGAAGCCUGCUCCUAGUACGAGAGGACCGGAGUGGACACACCUCUGGUGUAUCGGUUGUCACGCCAGUGGCAUUGCCGAGUAGCUAUGUGUGGAAGAGAUAACCGCUGAAAGCAUCUAAGCGGGAAACUCGUUUCAAGAUGAGAUCUGCCGGGGCCUUGAGCCCCCUAAAGAGUCGUUCAAGACCAGGACGUUGAUAGGUCGGGUGUGGAAGCGCAGUAAUGCGUUAAGCUAACCGAUACUAAUUGCUCGUGCGGCUUGAGCA